rnacentral:rRNA from 1 species
AACAAACGCUGGCGGCGUGCCUAAUACAUGCAAGUCGAACGGGGAAAGUAGCAAUACGAGUACUAGUGGCGCACGGGUGAGGAAUACAUGGGUAAUCUGCCCUCGAGCUCGGGAUAACCAGUCGAAAGACUGGCUAAUACCGGAUAUGACCACAAGAUCUGAGGAUCAAGGGGUAAAAGGUUUUUCGCUUGAGGAUGAGCCCAUGUGGGAUUAGCUAGUUGGUGUAGGUAACGGCUCACCAAGGCGACGAUCCCUAACUGGUCUUAGAGGAUGAUCAGUCACACUGGAACUGAGACACGGUCCAGACUCCUACGGGAGGCAGCAGUAGGGAAUAUUGCACAAUGGAGGAAACUCUGAUGCAGCGACGCCGCGUGAGUGAUGAAGGCCUUCGGGUCGUAAAGCUCUGUCGUAUGGGACUAACAAAAUGAAGGUACCAUGCAAGAAAGGAUCGGCUAAC